AGCUGUUGCUGCCCUCCGUCCCUCCAAGUUUGUGCAUCACCUCUUGUAUGAUAUCAUCAGUGAUAAAGAGCUUGGGGUUGUGAUACAAACACUAGAAGGAAGUGAAGCAAAACUAGGAAGUUGAUUAGAAAGAGGCAGAACAUAUGGUCAUGGUCCUUGUCAGUGGCAGCCCUUUGUGUUGACCUUGAGAGAACAACCAGAUGUGUUCCUCCUCAGACCAGAUGUCACCAGUUCUUAUCUCCCAGCAGCAAGAAGCUUUAGCAGUCAGGUGAGAUAGGAGGAAAUGCUCAUGAUUUUUAUUGUUUUAUUUCUUUUAAAGGGGUAGUAGCAGUUGGAAAUAAUGGUGAUGUUACAGGAGGGGUCAGAGAACCCAGAUGCAGGCACAGAAGCUGACAAACUUGUUUUAACAGAAAAUGGACUUUAUUUAGAAUAAACAAAAGCCUAGAGAUACAAGCUAAGGAGGAACUAGGAACAGGCAGGGAGGAAGGCUGAAGUUGACAAGCAAAAUCUAACUGGGAAAACAGACAAGACUACAAAAUUCAACAAAGACUCUAACGACUGAGGGGAAAUCUAAGAAAACCAUAAAUGAAUAACCUAAACUAAUCCAUCAAAACAGGGUACUGACAAUGGGAAGAAACUAAAUGGAAGGGCUAGGUAGCAGACUCAGGGAACUCUGGAGAUGGUAGAACACAAAACAAAAUAUCCACAGGUUGGAGACAGAACAGGAACAGAGGUGGGAAUCCAAAUGGGGGAAGGUGAGUCCAGAUGGGAAAUCCAAGCAGAAACUGGCAGAGGCACAAGGGCAGAGUUUUGUCCAAGAAGCUGUGGUGGUCAUGAGUUGAUGCAGGAUAUGAGAGUCUAUGGUCCAGCAUGGAAUGAAUGACAGAGCUGGCUUAAAUAAAGGGAGGUGGAAUUGCUAACAAGUGACUAGUGUAAGCUAAUUACAGCAGCUGAUUCUCAUUGCUGCAAUCAGACUGCAGGCAGGUGGAAGAUUCAGAGAGCAGAGAGACACAGGAGAGAGGAAGACAGGCAGAAAGACAGAGAGCCAGAGGUGCAAGACAAGGAGAGAGAUGACAUGGGAUGAGUGAGGGAGAGAUAUGAGAGAGAGAGACCUGAGAGAGUGACCAUACAUCUUUCCAUUAUCUAUACACCACUUAUGAUGCACAAAGAUCUAUUUCCAGUUUGGACCGAGAACCAAGUAAAGAUGGGCCUUUGGUCAUUGUGUUUUUGGUGGCCAUUUGGUUCUUCCAAUUCAAAUUUUUGUUGUCCUUUAAGGUGUGGUGCCCUAUAAAGAUUGUAUUUGUUCUGUGGGACGUCUGUUGAUAAAAUGUGGACACUGUCUCCAGUCUGAGGAUUGUAAAUGCCUUAAAAUCUGCUCUUUUGUUGUUCUAAGGUUAGUUACAGCUGAUUGAUCCUACAUACACAACUGUUCAAAGUUUGGAGUCACCUAGAAAUAUCCUUAUUUUUGAGAGAAAAUAUGUUUUUUCCAACAAAGAUAACAUUAAAUUAAUCAGAAAUACAGUCUAGACAUUGUUAAUGUGGUAAAUGACUAUUCUAGCUGGAAACGGCUGAUUUUAAUAGAAUAUCUCCAUAGGGGUACAGAGGAAGAUUUCCAGCAACCAUCACUCCUGUGUUCUAAUGCUACAUUGUGUUAGUUAAUGGUGUUGAAAGGCUCAUUGAUGAUUAGAAAACCCUUGUGCAAUUAUGUUAGCACAUGAAUAAAAGUGUGAGUUUUCAUGGAAAACAUGAAAUUGUCUGAGUGACCCCAAACUUUUGAAUGGAAGUGUAUCCUAUAAGAAAAUAAACAUAUUCCAAUUUGAUAUUUGUGCAGCCUAAAGACGACAGCUUUGUGUGUUCAUAUGCCUUGCACAUCCACACAGGUGUUUUCAGUGACUCAGAAAGUAAUUAGACUUCUGGUCAGACUGACGAUGGAUGCUGCUGUGAAACUCUUUGCACUAAGUAGAAAGAUUUUACGUUUUCCCACCAUAACAGGUGCAACAGAGCUAAGAGGAGUUGAGAUGCAAAACUGUGAGCG